rnacentral:rRNA from 1 species
GUCGAGAAUAGUCUACAAUGGACGAAAGUCUGAUAGUGCGACGCCGCGUGAACGAAGAAUCCCUUCGGGGUGUAAAGUUCUUUUAUAUGUGAGCAAUGCUUUUUAUGUGAAUAGCAUGAGAAGAGAGAUAUUAGCAUAUGAAUAAGCAACGGCUAACUCCGUGCCAGCAGCCGCGGUAACACGGGGGUUGCAAGCGUUGUCCGGAAUUACUAGGCGUAAAGGGCAGGUAGGCGGAUCUAUAAGUUUGAUGUUAAAGGCAGCGGCUCACCCGCUGUACGGCGUCGGAUACUGUAGAUCUGGAAUGCGGUUGGGGAAGACAGAAUUCCUGGUGUAGCGGUGGAAUGCGCAGAGAUCAGGAGGAAUACCAAAGGCGAAGGCAGUCUUCUAAGCCGUUAUUGACGCUAAACUGCGAAGGUGUGGGUAUCAAACAGGAUUAGAUACCCUAGUAGUCC